rnacentral:rRNA from 1 species
GAUGAACGCUGGCGGCGUGCUUAACACAUGCAAGUCGAACGGGACUUGUUAAGUUGAAACUUCGGUCGAUUCUUUUCAAGUCUAGUGGCGGACGGGUGAGUAACGCGUGGGUAACCUGCCUCACACUGGGGGAUAACAGUCAGAAAUGACUGCUAAUACCGCAUAAGCGCACAGCAUCGCAUGAUGCAGUGUGAAAAACUCCGGUGGUAUAAGAUGGACCCGCGUCUGAUUAACUGGUUGGUGGGGUAACGGCCCACCAAGGCGACGAUCAGUAGCCGGCCUGAGAGGGUGAACGGCCACAUUGGGACUGAGACACGGCCCAG